rnacentral:rRNA from 12 species
ACGGAACGGGCCCCUCCGACCCGUCUAGUAACACGGACCAAGGAGUCUGACACGUGUGCGAGUACCCGGGUGGCAUGCC